AGCGUCUGGGAAAGACGCAGGUUCUCGCGAGGACCGCCCCGUUAACCCUUCCCUCUGUCUCGGCGUUCGGAUAGCUCGCCUGUCAGCGUGUGUACAUUUUCGUAUCCAGUCUAGCCUGGAGGAGAAAAGCUGUACCGGCGUCGGUUCAGUUGUCAUCUUGUUCACCAACACUCACGUUUUCCAUAUUCCACACUCUUAGCUUUGAAUCUCUGGGCAAAUUAGGUCCCCCAAAGAUGCUGGUUCCCCAAAGAUGCCAUCAUCCCUAGAAAACAAGAAGCAGUCUAUAGAACAUGACACCCAUAUUCCCAAGAGGACUGGAGAGAUGGCUCUGCAGUUAAGAGUACUUGUUGCUCAUGCAGAAGACACAGGUUCAAUUCCCGGCAACCAUAUGGUGGCUCACAUCUAUCUAUAACUUCAGUUCUGAGGAACUGAAGCCUCCUCCUGACUUCCAUGGGCACCAGGCAUGCAUGUGGUAUAGACAUGCAAUUUGGCAAAAUGUUCAUACAUAUAAAAUAAGUCUUUCAUUUUAA